AAUAAUUUAUUUAGAAAAUUUGUUGGAAAUUUAAUAAAAAUUAUACUAGGAAUUAUAUCAGCACAUUGAUGUUUACGGAAGUUCCAGAGGAAAAAAGAUGAUUUGCGACACUAAACGAACUGUAAUAAGAAAACAGUUGAUUAAAUUUUAAAAAACUCCGCACUGGUGCAUACGUGUGAGCCGCGCGGUCGGUAAUUGCAGGAUUGCCCCCUACGGUAAGUCGGUGCAUUAUGGUAAGUAGAGUAAUUAUGAUGUCGAUUCCGGUCAAAUAGAUCCCCGCAGUGCCGACAGUGCCCAAUUUCCCCCACCGUCGAGCAUGUCGUAACUGCAAGCUCUUGGACCCACAGGCCCAGGAUGUCACGUCCUUCGUCUAUCAAGUCGCAAGGUGCGUGGAAGUCAAACCGUAUUUGCCUUUUUGGACAGAGUAGAGUUGGAAAAUCUUCAUUAUGGCCUGAGUCUUGUGUAAAUUCGUCAAACCGAGCAUCCGGUUUAUUCUGUUAAUUGCAAAAGACUCACUGUCUUCUAAAUUUCAAUCUUUACUGUUCUUUACUGAAUCUCAUUAUUUUGUGAAUAUACAUUAUGAUGAUUAUUCCAGUUUCCGCAAUCAAAUCAAGUUACGCCCUGAUCUAAAAGGAAUUAGGUGAACACACUUUGCUGGAGGAAACUUGACCGUGCUGCUGAUUUUUGUGGUUCAUAGAAACAAAGAGUAUUGGCCAGAUCCGCUCAAGUUUGAUCCGGACAUAUUUUUAUCGGUGGAAAUUGCGAAACGCCAUUCAUACUGCUUUCUGCCAUUCAGCGCUGGACCAAGAUAUUGCAUAGGAACACUUGGUAUGGUAUAGGAAAAUCUGCGAGGAAGAUGUUCAAAAUGAUUGAGACAAUUCUUGAAUCUCGUCACAAUUUUAGGUAUCAAGUUUUCCAUGAUGGAAAUGAAGACGCUCCUCGCAACAUUUCUUUGGACGUAUACAUAUAAUAAAAAAAGACCAAGUCAUACCGCCGAGUGAAAUAAAGUUGAAAAUAGAUACUUUACUGAAGCCUGUAGAUCCCAUCAAACUGCGGAUAGAACGACGUCCGUCGAGGCUGGAUUACAUUGAAAAAGACGAGUUUACUGGAUUUGGGACAGGUUUCACCUGUGUGAUCCGAGAAAAUUGGCUCCGCUAAUUUUGUUUUCCUAUAUAUUUUAUUACAAUUACAUUCUUCUUACUUUAUACUCUAAUCAGUUCCGUCUUUUCCAUAAGGACACAUGGGGCACCUGACCAGCGUCCCAGGCUUCAUGGGGGUCUCAAAAUACCGACGUCGUU